CACCGCGGUCAUACAAGUGUUAGCCCAAGUGGAUGGUGAGCGGCGUAAAGCGUGGCUAGGGGCCCCUAACACUAAAGUUGAACACCCGCAGAGCAGUUAUACGCACCCGAUGGUAUGAAAUCCCACCACGAAAGUGACUUUAACCAAGCCCGAACCCACGAAAGCUAGGGAA
rnacentral:rRNA from 1 species